GGUCGCUUGACUUGUUUUUCUUGGUCAUCGAAAAUAUCCAAUUUUAUAUUUAUUGCACAACAAACGCCUGGUUGCCAAUUGUGAUGCCCCAGUCUAUAUAUAAAUGGAGAAAACCGUGGGACUUCAUCGCACUCCUUUCGCAGACCAAUCACUAUCCAUUUCCCAGAAAUGAUAAAGAGAAUGUCUGACGAGGAAAUAAGCGUCGAGGAAAUAAGCGACAGGGAUCUGAAUACUAGGACUGCUAAGAUCAUGAGUGCGAUCCCAAGCGGGAUCGCUGAAUGCCCGUGCAAGCUUGCCACGGAAACACAAGCAAAACCAUAUGAAACAGAGUGUCUCCCCACACGGAAAAGAAAAGACCAAAACCAUAUGAAGAUCCUCGAUGGUUCUUCCCAAUCGGAAAAGAGCCGCCAUACCAAAUUCCAGCCAAAUGGGAGAGGUUGGAACACGAACAAGAUCGCAAUAAACAUCAUGGAAACGCUAGACGAGCUGCCAGCUUCCACCAGGCCAACGAAGGUUCAUCACAAACUACAUGCUGCGACUAAAGAGGUGUACGAGCCUUAUAUAUUUAAGGUUCAUCACCAACUACGUGCUGCGAAUAAAGAGGUGUACGAGCCUCAUAUAUUUAAGGUUCAUCACCAACUACGUGCUGCGAAUAAAGAGGUGUACGAGCCUGUGUUGGUUUCGAUUGGACCAUACUAUCAUGAUAAACGCAAGAGUCAACUUCAAUAUAUGGAACAACAUAAGUUGCGCUACCUACAAGAUCUGCUGAAACGAAAGGAGGAAAAAGAAGGUCCAACCGAAUUUGACCAAAUAAGGGAGUAUCUUGGGGUUUUGGAAGAAUUGGAAGAUGAGGCUCGUGGUUACUAUGCAGAUCCCAUCGCCCUUGAGAAAAAUGUCUUCCUAGAAAUGUUGUUGCUUGAUGGCUGCUUUAUCAUUGAGCUGUUCCGUAAAGCUGCAUGGGAUCAACCUGAAAGAGAAGCGGACCCACUAUUUAAAGCUGAUUGGGUACGUGUGUCCUUAGCGAGAGAUUUAAUGCUACUUGAAAAUCAAAUUCCAUUCUUUGUUCUGGAGCGUCUACAUUUCAUGAUUGGUGAUCGGCCUGAACCGGUCCACCUUAUUUAUGGGGCCGUGGAGUAUCUCCCAGCAUAUGGGCACUUAAGUUCACAUGUUGGCCCAGGUGAAUGCGAAAAUGCACUGGAAAGCAUCUCCAAUCUUCUCCGGCCUAAACGUACAUUUCAAGGUAGACGACUAAACCCAGAGGAACUCACAGAUAUUAAGCAUAUUUUGGAUCUUGUCCGCAAGUUCAUGUUGGUUGUGGAGAUCUCGGAAAUGAAAGAUGAAAGUGACUCACCACCCAAGCAAGGGCAGAGUAUCAAAAAGUAUUCUGCCACAAAACUGCGUGAAUUAGGAGUUAGAUUUAAGGGUGUGGAGAAAAGUAAGUUUUAUGAUAUCACAUUUGAAAAUGGGCUUUUAAAGAUUCCAAUCAUCAAAAUAGAAGAUGUUACAGAAGGGCGAUUUCGAAAUUUAAUUGCAUAUGAAGAACAUUAUGUCCGAAAAAAUAAAUAUAUAGGAGACUACAUGAGUUUCAUGGACGAUCUGGUAAAUACCCCAAAGGAUGUUGAGCUGCUUCGGCACCACGGGAUAAUCGAAAGCCUCAUGGGUGAUGAUGAAGUUAUCGCUGCCAUGUUCAACAAUAUGUGCAAACAUAGGAUAUUGUCGAACUACUACUAUGCAGAAAUAGUUGACAAACUGACGAAGCAUUGCAAAAAGAAGCGACAUGUCUGGAUGGCGAAGUUAUAGAGAAAUCAUCUUAGCAGCCCGUGGAAAAUCUUGUCAGUUCUAGUAGGAUUGAUCCUACUCAUCUCAACUAUCACACAAACUGUCUACACUGUUCGCUCAUUCUACAAUGCAAAUUAGGGAUCCAAGUCAUGGCGCGUUACUUUGCUUACAAUAUUGUGAAAUGUCUUUUGGGACUAUAAGGCUUGCAAAUCUUUCACCAUUGCUUGCCUGUGUGAGUUCUUUCCUUUGAAUGUGCUGGUCUUGCCCCCGUUUCACAUCAUUCCCCAUCAGAUCUGCAAUAUUGCAUUACUUGCGCAGCCGUCUGUGCCUG